AGGGUUAAAGUUUACAUAAACAUCUAAAUUGCAAUUAGAAAUAACAAUUUUUGUUAACCUGA
rnacentral:tRNA from 1 species